UUAUAAUAUAGGGUGUUCGUAAAUGAAAUUUACAAUUUCAUGUUUUAUUUAUAUGGAAGCUAUGAUAUAUAAGAACUUGCAAUAGUUAUUACAAUGUAUAGCAACUAUGAAAUUUGUUUUUACAGUUAGAACAUCUCCAUUUGUGCUCCAUUGGUUACUCAGAUGUACAGAUGAUGAUCUAAUUUAACCCAUAUAUGUUGCAGAAUGUCAGAAUAGCUGAGUGAUAUGUUCCUUGAACUGCUUCUCCAACUCAAUGAAAGACAUCCAUUUUUGUUUUGUAGACAAUGUCUUUAAUAAAGUUCCAAAGGGAAAGUCACACAGGAUAAUAUCAAGAAAAUGAGUGGUCAUUCUAUUGCUUCUACUACAUCUGAUCUAAAGCCCUGGAAAAUAUUGGUAUAAAGAACUUAGAACAUCCACUGAUCAAUAUGAGAAGUACAAUCUUGUGGAAUAUAUUGCUUGGAAUAUCACUGAGUUGUGAAAUUAUGAAGAGUGGCAAUAUGUAUUUAGAAUUAUGUUAUAAAUCAAUUCAGAAAAGAAAAAAAAUCCCAUCAAACUGUCAGUCAUUAUGCCAUAUCAGCAUAAUGACAGACAGUUUGAUGGGAUGUGCUAUUUCUCUUCAAGAAAAAAUUUUAUUGCAAUAAAAAAUUGUCAGAAUAAAUUAUGUCAAAACCAAAUAUAAAAUUAAAUGGUGAGAAAAAACAAUCAAAUCAAACCUACAUACAUAAAACAUUCCAAGUGAGAAAAGUUAUAAAACUUUUUAUUCAGAUAUCAGGCCUGCACUACUUCUGAAAUGCAUUUUGAGUUCUCAUUGCCCCUCAUCAGUCUGGAAUGUGUGCAAGCUAAUAUACAUAAAUAAAAGAAUGGAAUAUUACAAAUUGUCAAAUACAUAUAAAUAUUAUAGCUUAAACAAAUAAUUAUUUAGACUUUAAUUUAUAUGUAUUUAACAAUUUGUACGACGCCAUUCUUUUCUAUAUAUUAAAAUCCAC
rnacentral:lncRNA from 1 species